rnacentral:rRNA from 1 species
CAAAUCGGCUGAGGGUGAGUCGGAUCCUAAGGCGAGGCCGAAAGGCGUAGUCGAUGGAAAGCAGGUUAACAUUCCUGCACCGCUGUUUACUGCGAUGGGAUGACGGAGAAGGCUAGGUCAGCGGCAGCAGUGCCGUUCAAGGCCGUAGGGGUGUGUUCUUGGAAAAUCCGGAGCACAGCUAUCCCCGAGAACUGAGUACUAGGAGACUUCGGUCUCCGAAGUGACUGAUGCCACGCUUCCGGGAAAAGUCUCUAAGCUUCAGGUAAACACGUCCGUACCGUAAACCGACACUGGUGGGUGAGCAGAUAAUCUGCUAAGGCGCUUGAGAGAACUCGGGUUAAGGAACUCUGCAAAUUGAUACCGUAACUUCGGGAGAAGGUAUGCCUCCUGGUGUGAGGGGAUUUACUCCCUGAGCAUCGAGAGGUCACAGGUAAUCGAGGGCUGCGACUGUUUAUCAAAAACACAGGACUCUGCGAACACGAAAGUGGAUGUAUAGGGUCUGACGCCUGCCCGGUGCCGGAAGGUUAAUUGAUGGGGUCAGCCGCAAGGCGAAGCUCCUGAUCGAAGCCCCGGUAAACGGCGGCCGUAACAAUAACGGUCCUAAGGUAGCGAAAUUCCUUGUCGGGUAAGUUCCGACCUGCACGAAUGGCGUAACGCUGGCCCUACUGUCUCGACCCGAGACUCAGUGAAGUUGAAAUCGCUGUGAAGAUGCGGCGUAGCUGCGGAUAGACGGAAAGACCCCGUGAACCUUUACUACAGCUUUACACUGAACUUUGACCUUGUCUGUGUAGGAUAGGUGGGAGCCUUUGAAGCAGGAGCGCUAGCUCUUGUGGAGGCAACGUUGAAAUACCACCCUGAUAAUGUCGAAGUUCUAACCUAGGCCCGUAAUCCGGGUUGGGAACACUGUAUGGUGGGUAGUUUGACUGGGGCGGUCUCCUCCCAAAGAGUAACGGAGGAGUGCAAAGAUACCCUCAGCGCGGUCGGUCAUCGCGCAUUGAGUGCAAUGGCAUAAGGGUGUUUGACUGCGAGACUGACAAGUCGAGCAGGUGCGAAAGCAGGUCAUAGUGAUCCGGUGGUUCUGUAUGGAAGGGCCAUCGCUCAACGGAUAAAAGGUACUCCGGGGAUAACAGGCUUAUUCCUCCCAAGAGUCCACAUCGACGGAGGAGUUUGGCACCUCGAUGUCGGCUCAUCACAUCCUGGGGCUGUAGCAGGUCCCAAGGGUUCGGCUGUUCGCCGAUUAAAGUGGUACGCGAGCUGGGUUCAAAACGUCGUGAGACAGUUUGGUCCCUAUCUUCCGUAGCCGUUGGAGAUUUGAGGGUGAGCUGUCCUUAGUACGAGAGGACCGGGAUGGACGUAUCUCUGGUGUUCCGGUUGUCACGCCAGUGGCACUGCCGGGUAGCUAUAUACGGACGGGAUAACCGCUGAAAGCAUCUAAGCGGGAAGCCCCCCCCAAGAUUAGAUCUCCCUGGGAGCUUGACUCCCCUGAAGGGCCCAAGUAGACGACUUGGUUGAUAGGCUGGGUGUGUAAGGUCAGUAAUGACUUCAGCUAACCAGUACUAAUUGCCCGUGAGGCUUGACCAA